AACUACACCCCCGGCCACGCUCUCCUCCCCUUCCUAUUUUUUCCCCUUCAAAAGACGACGCAGCACAGCCUUGCUUGCAUCCUCGUCAUCCUCGCCUGGACUCCCCUCUCUCUCGAGAUCGCUCCGACGCCACCUCCAUCUCCUCAGCGCGGCAGCAGAUCGCGAGAACUCCCCGGCCGGUGCAGAGAUCAAGUGAAACAUGGCGAAGAUCAAGCCAAGAGCACUACUGGCACAGAGCAAGCAGAAGAAGAGCCCUACUAAAAUCGGGCCGACCAUGAUCGUCUACAUCGCCCUGGCCGCCCUGGUCGUGUCUUCAGUUUAUGCUUACAAGUACUGGAUGGGCAAAGGGCCAGCUGGAGCAGAAGGUGUUAUGGGAAACUAAGCCCAAGUAUGCAGUCGAUUGAUUUUGUAUUCAUGUUGGUUAUUAUCUUGCUCACUGAUUUUUGUAGUUACAGUCCGGUAAAUGGAAGUGUGGAACAGAGACAGAAUGUGCUAUGUUUAGUUCUACCCCCUGGUACAUUGUAUCAUUAUUUGUUAUUAUGUUAUAAUUCUUUCUUUGACAUGCAUGAUCUGGGAUAAUCUUGAUGGAAUGGUAUCCAUGGCAGUUGUGGUCUGCCUAGUUUUUUU